rnacentral:rRNA from 1 species
CCUACGGGAGGCAGCAGUGAGGAAUAUUGGUCAAUGGGCGCGAGCCUGAUCCAGCCAAGUAGCGUGAAGGAUGACUUCCCUACGGGUUUUAAACUUCUUUUAUAAAGGAAUAACGUGAGGCACGUUUGCCUUUUUGUCUGUACUUUCUGAAUAAGGAUCGGCUCACUCCGGGCAAGCAGCCGCGGUAAUACGGAGGAUCCUAGCGUUAUCCGGAUGUCUUGGGUUUAAAGGGAGCGUAGAUGGGUUGUUAAGUCAGUUGUGAAGUUUGCGGCUCAACCGUAAAAUUGCAAUUGAUACUGGCAGUCUGGAGUACAGGUGAGGUAGGCGGAAUUCGUGGUGUAGCGGUGAAAUGCUUAGAUAUCACGAAGAACUCCGAGUGCGAAGGCAGCCUACUAAACUGCCACUGACAUUGAUGCUCGAAAGUGUGGGUAUCAAACAGGAUUAGAUACCCCUGUAGUC